rnacentral:tRNA from 1 species
GGACUAUAGCUCAGUUGGUAGAGUGCCUGCCUUGCAUGCAUGAGGCCCUGGGUUCAAUCCCCAGCACCA